UACGUAGGGGGCGAGCGUUGUCCGGAAUUACUGGGCGUAAAGGGCGCGUAGGCGGCCCGCUAAGUCUGCUGUGAAAGGCCGGGGCUCAACCCCGGAAGGUCAGCGGAGACUGGUGGGCUGGAGUGCCGGAGAGGGAUGCGGAAUACCUGGUGUAGCGGUGGAAUGCGUAGAGAUCAGGUGGAACACCGAUGGCGAAGGCAGCAUCCUGGCCGGAGACUGACGCUGAGGCGCGAAAGCGUGGGGAGCGAACGGG
rnacentral:rRNA from 1 species